GACGAACGCUGGCGGCGUGCUUAACACAUGCAAGUCGAACGGAAAGGCCCUGCUUUUGUGGGGUGCUCGAGUGGCGAACGGGUGAGUAACACGUGAGUAACCUGCCCUUGACUUUGGGAUAACUUCAGGAAACUGGGGCUAAUACCGGAUAGGAGCUCCUGCUGCAUGGUGGGGGUUGGAAAGUUUCGGCGGUUGGGGAUGGACUCGCGGCUUAUCAGCUUGUUGGUGGGGUAGUGGCUUACCAAGGCUUUGACGGGUAGCCGGCCUGAGAGGGUGACCGGCCACAUUGGGACUGAGAUACGGCCCAGACUCCUACGGGAGGCAGCAGUGGGGAAUAUUGCACAAUGGGAGGAAGCCUGAUGCAGCAACGCCGCGUGCGGGAUGACGGCCUUCGGGUUGUAAACAGCUUUCGCCUGUGACGAAGCGUGAGUGACGGUACUGGGUAAAGAAGCACCGGCUAACUACGUG
rnacentral:rRNA from 1 species